rnacentral:lncRNA from 1 species
AGUGUCCCUGCCUGUUUGGGAGUCUUUGGAGGGGUUUCCUUGGGGACCUGGGACUCUCUCGUUUCUGUGGUGUUCAAUCUCCACAGUGUCGUGACAGACCACUGCCCGGAGCCCCUUCUGCCACUGCCUGCCCGACCCAAACCUGAUGCCAUGGAGAUGCCAACUGGCCAUAAACCCAGACUGUAAGCUCCUUGAAGACAGGAACAUCAUCAUGGCUGUUUAUCACAUUCCUCAGCAUCGGGCACAGAACCAGCUUUCCACCGCACUGGCGGCCAGUAUGUGAAGAACUGAACCAACUCCAACUCAG